AAGAAAGUGACAGAGUGGUCGUGUGGCUGUCUUGAAAGCAGUUUAUGGGGGUUCAAUUCCCUCCUUUCUUGC
rnacentral:tRNA from 1 species